GCCUAAUCUUUAUGGUGACAUUAUCAGUGACCUCUGUGCUGGUUUGAUUGGGGGAUUGGGUUUAACUCCCAGCUGCAAUAUCGGUGAAGGUGGUAUUGCUCUUGCAGAGGCUGUCCAUGGUUCAGCUCCUGAUAUUGCUGGCAAGAACCUUGCAAAUCCUACAGCUCUUCUAUUGAGUUCUGUUAUGAUGUUGCGGCACUUGAAUCUCAAUGAUAAA
rnacentral:misc_RNA from 1 species